CCUAUGGUAAACAACACUCGCUUGAUCUCCUAUGGUAAACAACACUUAAGUGGUCACCAGUUCCUACAAUAUAGUGGUCAAAAAGUUUGCAACCUUACAGAAAAGAUUCGAAAGGGAGUUAAACAAAAUCAAGGCUACUUCCAAUGGGCCAAAUAGCA
rnacentral:misc_RNA from 1 species